UACGAGGGGGGGCAAGCGUUGUUCGGAAUCACUGGGCGUAAAGGGAGCGUAGGCGGCCGUUUGCGUCGGAUGUGAAAGCCCGGGGCUCAACCUCGGAACGGCAUUCGAUACGGGACGGCUGGAGACCGGGAGAGGAGAGUGGAAUAGCCAGUGUAGAGGUGAAAUUCGUAGAUAUUGGCUGGAACACCGGUGGCGAAAGCGGCUCCUCUGGCCCGGUUCUGACGCUGAGGCGACGAAAGGCGUGGGGAGCAAACAACGG
rnacentral:rRNA from 1 species